AUCCAGACUCCUACGGGAGGCAGCAGUGGGGAAUAUUGCACAAUGGGGGAAACCCUGAUGCAGCGACGCCGCGUGAGUGAAGAAGUAAUUCGUUAUGUAAAGCUCUAUCAGCAGGGAAGAAAAUGACGGUACCUGAGUAAGAAGCCCCGGCUAACUACGUGCCAGCAGCCGCGGUAAUACGUAGGGGGCAAGCGUUAUCCGGAUUUACUGGGUGUAAAGGGAGCGUAGACGGCUGUGCAAGCCAGAUGUGAAAGCCCGGGGCUCAACCCCGGGACUGCAUUUGGAACUGUGUGGCUGGAGUGUCGGAGAGGCAGGCGGAAUUCCUAGUGUAGCGGUGAAAUGCGUAGAUAUUAGGAGGAACACCAGUGGCGAAGGCGGCCUGCUGGACGAUGACUGACGUUGAGGCUCGAAAGCGUGGGGAGCAAACAGGAUUAGAUACCCGGGUAUA
rnacentral:rRNA from 1 species